rnacentral:rRNA from 1 species
UACGUAGGUGACCAGCGUUGUCCGGAUUUACUGGGCGUAAAGAGCGCGCAGGCGGUCGUUCAAGUCGAGUGUGAAAGCCCCCGGCUCAACUGGGGAGGGUCACGCGAUACUGUUCGACUCGAAGGCAGGAGAGGGAAGUGGAAUUCCCGGUGUAGUGGUGAAAUGCGUAGAUAUCGGGAGGAACACCAGUGGCGAAGGCGACUUCCUGGCCUGUUCUUGACGCUGAGGCGCGAAAGCUAGGGUAGCAAACGGG